GUGUUCAUCUCAGUAGCAUAUACGCUAAAACUGGAACAAUACAGAUUCAGAUCAGCAUAGCUCUUGUGCAAGGAUGACAUGCAAACUCAUGAAGUGUUCCAUAUUUUA
ensembl:snRNA U6 U6 spliceosomal RNA